AUGCACUGGCAUGUAUGGUGGAAGUUAUACAUUCCGAAGAAGAAAUGGGGAUUGGGUUUGAGGGAUCUUCACAGCUUUAAUCUUGCUAUGUUGGUAAAGUAGUGUUGGCGACUAAUCCAGAAUCCUGACUCAGUGUGCAUAGUUUUGAGAGAAAAAUAUUAUCCUAAUGGUGAUGUUUUGAAGGUUGGACCUAAGUCUGGAUAAUCGUACACUUGGCAAAGCAUUGUUGCAGGCAUACAAACAUUUCAGAGGGGACACAUUUGGUGA
rnacentral:rRNA from 1 species